GGGUGUGCUGUGUACUCCUGCCCUCUGCUGGUACUAACACAUACUACAACAAGGACAACUCUCCCCAAAUAACUCGAAAAGCAAGGCCGGCAUCACACUGUAAGCAAGAUGCUGCAAGAUGCUGCAAGAUGCUAUAAGGAGACCGUAAUCUUUGGUGCCUCGGGGGUAUACACGAAGGAGUUUUCUGACAACUGAGUGCUGGUGAUGGAAUUAUUGUUGCACACCGCAUCUAGCACAGAAGAAUGUUUAAAGACUGGACAUUACCCACAUGGAGUGACGAGCCGUAGAGCUAAAUGGCAGGGCAUGACAUGGUUGGACAUUUGUGCCUUGUGAUGACGAAUUUCCUGUUGAUGCUCCUGGAAAUUGUGGGAAGCACAGCCAGCGUCCUAUGUCAGAGUCAUGCUGUCAUGUGAAGAUCUGCAGUUUUAGAUGCUGAAGAUACUAAUGUGGAUCUCUUAGCUUAACUGUUCAGUUGUAUUGCUUUUCAAAAACAAGGAUUUUGUGAGUAUCUCUGUAUAUAUAAGGUCCUAUUAUACAUUGAGCCUCUGUUGCUGUGCUCAGCCACUACCAAAGACAAAGGGUUUUUUGGUUUAUGGUUACAGUCCAUUAUAGUGGGAAGAUAAGGAAGAGGCUUCAGGCAGGAACUGAAGCAAAGGCCACGGAGGUAAUUUUGCUUCCCGGCUCUGUCUUCUUUCUUCUAUCCCUCAUGACCACCUGCCCAGGGGUUGGCACCAGCCACAGUGGGCUAGGCCACCUCACAUCAACCAUCAAUCAAGAAAAUUUCCCAUAUCCCAAUCUGAUGGAGGCAAGCCCUCUGCUAAGGUUCUCUUUCCCCGGGUGUUUGUAUUAAGUUGACAAAAACUAGUCAGAGGCGAUUCCUACUGUGUGCAGGGGUGGCUGUGAGGUUGGCCAUUAUGACGUGUCAGACAUAGCAUUUCCUGGCACCAAGCACGGGAUUAAGCUAUUUUCAUACCUGCUACAUGGUUUAGUCUUCAUAAUAAGCCAGUAUAUGAAGUUAGUUUUAUUGCCAUCCUAUGGAGAGGGAAACAGAUAUUUAGGAUCAAAUGCAUCUCUGCUUCUCAGUGCUAAGUAUCUAUUUUGAGUACCACUACGUUUCUCUCUUGGCACAACACAGAAGUGUGGCUUAGACAACAAGACUUAGGAAUCCACACUGCAGGAGGUUGUAUGUCCUUUAUCAAGGUCCAAUGUGUUCUGUUUCUGUUGCAAGCCUUCUUCCUGUUUCCGCAGAUCCUCACCUUGCUAUAUCCUUGAGCGACUGGGUUUGGGAAGCGCCAUAGAAUGCUGCCCAGUGUCCACUUUUUUCGUUUCUUCUUAUUAGAACAUUGAGACUAUUACAUUAGGGCCAAACUGUAAUGAUUUCAUGUAAUUUUAUUUAUCUCCUGGUUUAGCUAUUUUUCUGUUGGUGUGAU